GUGUUAUGUAUUUGUUUUAUCAUUGAUUUGCUUGUUUGAUUGAUUCAAUAUUUCGAUACAACAUCAGCUCCAUUUCCAUCUCUCUCUCUCUCUCUCUCUCUCCCGUGCUGUCUUUUUUUUCUCAAUUUUAUUCAAAUCAAAAAUAAGAUGCGUUGCCUGGUGGGAAUUUAAACUUAAGCUACCAUUGACUGUGGAGUUGAUUAGUCGUUUUAGUCCAAGACAAGCGACUGAUGUUCAUGAAGCAGAUUUUUACGAGGUCAAUACUUCACUCAAUCAAGAGUUUUGAUCCUAUUAGUGGUUCAUGGCUCAUGGGUCUUAUCAGAGAAUUCAUUUUGUAUCUAUUCAAGCAUACCCAGUCAGUUAAAAUGGGAAUUCAUGGCCGUCUGGCUCUUAUAGUGGAGCCUCCUUGAGUUUUCUGCCGUUGUAUUUUGACGCUUUACCAGGUACUUUUAUUGGUAAAAUUUGUAAAUUUGUGAUUUCAGCAAUGAAAGAAGCUUCAAGUGUGUACGCUUCAAGAAGAAUUGAUGAGGCUGCUCGGAGUAGUUUUAGAUUUGCCCACGACCUGUUCGAUUGUAUGUCUGAUCAAAACCAAGUGAGAAGGGUUGUGGAAGUAAGCUUGAUUGCUCAAAAUACAGUGUCCGAGUUCAGGAAGUUGAUUUCCCUGCUUGAUGGAUCAACGCGCGUGCAGAUUGUAAGAGGAUCAGAAAAGGUCCUUUACCAAAUUCCAUUGAUGUAAACCGCAUUGAAUUAUCAGGUCGUCAUAGUUUUUCAUUGUCAAGUUUUAAAUGCAAUUCAGCCAACCCCCUACAGCUGAACGGUUACUUCCCUCUCAAAAUACUCCCUUUACAACUGUUUUAACCACCAUCAAUGGUCUUAACUUUCGUCAAAACAUGUGUGCUCCGGCAAUGAACCGAUGUUACUCUGAAAUCAAUGCAGUAUUUUCAAAGAAUUUGAUCAUGGAGUUCAGACAAUCUUUAGAGCAUUCAAGCAUUUCUUUGGUUAGUGUGGACGAGUGACGUCAGUAAACAUGAUUUUCGUAAUUCAUCAUCAGAAACACUGGCUCCUCACGGUGAUUCCUAUUUGUUUCCCACUAAAACACAGAACGAGGCAAAGGAUGAAGAAGCUAGUGCAAGACGUGUGGCCUCAACUAGAAAAUUCCACUGCUUGAAGCAAAGGAAAGUGAGGGCAAAGAGAACAAUCAGGGUUCCAGUUUUAAGCAACAGACCAGCAGGAGCUAUUACAAAUGCAAUCGCACAAGGGGAUGCCCUGCUAGAAAGCACACGAAAAGAUCUUUGGAGGAUCCUACCAUGUUGGUUAUGACAUAUGAAGGGAACCAUGACCACCCAUGAAUCACAUUUCAGUACCCAAUGUGAUGAUCAGCAGGAUGAGUUCAAAAGCUGCCCAUGCUGAUAUCCGAGCUGGAUUUGGUUUUUGGUUUGUAAGGCCCUUUUUGAAGCUUAGAAAUUAUUGAACAUGAUUGUGCUGUUGACUAUCUAUUUUUCUGUUCUCAAAACUCCUUAAUUUAUUCUUCUCCCAUUGUGGUCC